rnacentral:rRNA from 1 species
GAUGAACGCUGGCGGCGUGCCUAAUACAUGCAAGUCGAGCGAACAGAUAAGUUGCUUGCUCCUUUGACGUUAACGGCGGACGGGUGAGUAACACUUGGUUAACCUACCUAUAAGAUUGGACUAACUCCCGGAAACCGGGGCUAAUUCCUGAUAACAUUUAGAACCUCAUGGUUCUAAAGUGAAAGCUGUUUUUGCUAUCCCUUCUAGAUGUACCCGCGCCGUAUUAGCUCGUUGGUACGGUAACGGCUUACCAAGGCCACGAUACGUAGCCGACCUGAGAGGGUGAACGCGCACACUGGAACUGAGACACGGUCCAGACACCUACGGGAGGCACAAGUAGGGAAGCGACGGAGAUGGGGGAAAGACUGACGGAGGAACGCAGCGUGAGUGAUGAAGGUCUUCGGAUCGGAAGACUCUGUUAUUAGGGAAGACCAAAUGUAUAAGUAACGGUGCACGUCGUGACGGUACCUAAACAGAAAGCAACGGCUAACUACGUG